rnacentral:rRNA from 1 species
CUACGGGGGGCACCAGUGAGGAAUAUUGCACAAUGGGGGGAACCCUGAUGCAGCAACGCCGCGUGGAGGAUGACGCAUUUCGGUGUGUAAACUCCUUUUAUAUGUCAAGAAAAUGACGGUAGCAUAUGAAUAAGCACCGGCUAACUCCGCGCCAGCAGCCGCGGUAAUAGGGAGGGUGCAAGCGUUACUCGGAAUCACUGGGCGUAAAGGACGCGUAGGCGGGUUGGAAAGUCAGGUGUGAAAUCCUACAGCUUAACUGUAGAACUGCACUUGAAACUUCUAAUCUAGAGUAUGGGAGGGGGAGAUGGAAUUAGUGGUGUAGGGGUAAAAUCCGUAGAUAUCACUAGGAAUACCUAAAGCGAAGGCGAUCUCCUGGAACAUUACUGACGCUAAGGCGUGAAAGCGUGGGGAGCAAACAGGAUUAGAUACCCCAGUGUC